GUAGGGGGCGAGCGUUGUCCGGAAUUAUUGGGCGUAAAGAGCUCGUAGGCGGUCUGUCGCGUCGGCUGUGAAAACUCGGGGCUCAACCCCGAGCCUGCAGUCGAUACGGGCAGACUAGAAUGCGGUAGGGGAGACUGGAAUUCCUGGUGUAGCGGUGAAAUGCGCAGAUAUCAGGAGGAACACCGGUGGCGAAGGCGGGUCUCUGGGCCGUAACUGACGCUGAGGAGCGAAAGCGUGGGGAGCAAACAGGAUUAGAUACCCUGGUAGUCCACGCCGUAAACGGUGGGUGCUAGGUGUAGGCGGUAUUCCACGCCGUCUGUGCCGCAGCUAACGCAUUAAGCACCCCGCCUGGGGAGUACGGCCGCAAGGCUA
rnacentral:rRNA from 1 species